UUUCCACUCCUCUUCUGGGACUCCUUUCUCCCUGGCUUCUGGAGGCUGGGAGGCUGGGCCAUUCUAAACCAGCCAAUCCCUGUCAAGCCUGGAUGCCUCCUCCCUGCCUGGGAAAGUGGCCAAGAUGGGGGUAGAAUUAGCUUGGUGCAGGGACGAAUCAUCAUAGACCGGCAAAACAUGACUCUUAGGACUAUUGCGGGACAAGGUUGAUGCUGAGUUACGUAUUCCCAGCGUUCCAGCUCCUCUGUGGAUGUGGUACACUAAGUAAAAGGGUGAAUUUGGGAAUCCACAAUCAGAAUCUGACCAGCCUGGUCCCCAUCAUCUCCUGAGCUUCUGCCCAAAGGACUGUGAGGAUAGCAGGCACUGUUUUCCAGUGAGAAGGCUGUGGGACUGAAGAGUCUGCCCACCAGUUGCUCAGCCUGGUGGAGCGCAAGUCCUGUCUUCACAGCAGAAACAAGACUUUCUGGCGCACAAAGAAAUCCCAAUUGGGGUUUCUGAGUCCAAAGCUAGGGAUCAAGAAUACAGCUGAGACUGGGGUGGUUAGAGCUGGGCAGUAUGGUGUUCCUUGUGGAGUGAAGGAGAGCUUGAGCAGAUAUGAGAUCCAGGGAAAGGAAGCCAGGACAGGAACUCAAACAGGGCAGGAUCCCGGAGACGGGAGCUGCUGAGAGGCCUCAGAGACGUGCUGCUUACUGGCUUGCUUCCCUUGGUUUGCUCAGCCUGCUCUCUUAUAGAACCCAGGACCAUCAGCCCAGGGAUGGCACCACCCACAAUGGACUGGGCCCCCCUCACUGAUCACCAGUUGAGAAAAUGCCUUACAGCUGGCUCUCAUGGAGGCAUUUCCUUGACCGAGGCUCCUUCCUCUCUGAUGAUUUUAGCUUGUCUCAAGUUGACACACAUGAACCAACCACUACAGGAAAGUACUACAUUAUGCAGCAUCUUCUCCAUAAAAUGUGCUUACUGUACACUGGACGACCGUGGUGCAUUCCUCUGGACAGGCUUAUGAGGCUACUUUCUGGAAAGAUGAACUGGAGAGGAAGAUCCUCCCCUAGAAGGCAGCACUUUCUGACUGCAGCCCCGAUAUAAAGAGACCUGAAGGAAAACAAGCAGUGUUGCCUUUUCCUGCCCGCCUUCAUGCCUUGUUGGCGAGUGGAUCCACUCGGAAUCUGCUGCUGUUUGUGGACACUGGAAUCUAUAUUCGCCAUUCUUCCAGUAUGUACUGAAGACCGAUGGUUCUUCAGGUACCCGCCAGGUUUUGAACUGCUGAGGCAUCCAGCUUCACGGACUGAGCAAGUACAAGGUUCUCAACGUCACCAUACAGAUUCAGGCAGAAUUGUGGAAGACAUGCUGCACCCCUUAGUAACGUGUUCUCAUUGUAUUGGCUGUUCCUCUAAAGGACUGUGAUGACCAUGAUAGUAUAAAGUGUGUCUGUCCAUUCUUGCAUUCAGGCAACCUCAAGGGGUAAGUUUUCCACCGUGCACUCCUCAGCAGUCUGGACCAGAGUCCUGAUGUCACGGGGGUGGGGGGUGGGGGGACGCAAGUGAUGGCAUCCAGAGGAGAAAAGAAUAUUUAUUUAAUAGAAGAACUAACAAGCCCCUGCCCAGAUCACACGAUCCCCCCUGAACCACCCUGGACUUUGUCCAGACUUACUCUGUGAUUGGUUCCAGAGAGCAAAUGCUCAAAGAGUCAGACUCCUAGCAGGGCGGCUACCAGAGAGGGUAUGUGGGUAGAGUCAGGGUUUCUGACGCUGUAGGAUGUUAGGAACGGCCUCACCUCCCUCUACCUGCUCAUCGUCAUCUCAAUUCAGUCAGCAAGAGCAUCAGGAGGCUGCCUCUAGAGCCCUCAGAAGGGUGGUUUGUGCGCCUUCCCCAAAUCCCCACCGCAGUCAGGGAACCCAUCUCUUUCGUGCCUGCUGUUCUCAAACUGUCCUACAGAGGGAGCAUUCUCCAAGAUCAGGAGACAAACAGGACCCACACUAACCCUGCGGAGUCUUCUAAGAUUUACAUAGGCAUCUGUAGGAGUUCAGGGAUCGGCAAACCCCGGUCCCCCAACUCUUCAUGAGCAUUGCGAUGCUAGGCAGAAUCUUCAAAGCCUGUUCAGAGCCGGAAAUGAAAUGUAGCAAUUACUCUAAGAAACAGUUUGCUCCACCAUAAAGCAAAGAAUGAAGUAUUUCCUGGUGAAAAGAACCAUUUUUUAAAACUGAUGGGCACCAUAAAAAAUGCACUCGGUUGUUCAAAAUAUGUGCAAGACAUCUAUAAUGAAAACCUCAAGGCACUGGUGCGAGAAAUUCAAGGAGAACCAAAUAAAUGGAAAGACAUACAAUGUUCAUGGAUAGGAUAACUCAACAAUGUUAAAAUGCUGAUUCUCUUCAAAUUGACCUAUUGAUUUAAAGAAAUCUUAAAAUCCAGGAAGCAUUCUUUGUAGAGGUAGACACUUCCAUUUUGAAAUUAAUUAAUUUUGAGACUGGGUCUCACCAUGUAGGUCAAAGUGUCCUGAAACUCCCUAUAUCCACCUGCCUCUGCCUUCUGGGUGCUAGGAUUAAAGGUGUGCACUACCGUGUUCAGUUGAUUAUGACAUUUAUGUGAAAACUCAAAGGGCACAGAAUUGCCAAAAUUUAUUUGAAAAUAAAAGUAACACACUAUACAGUUAUGAGAAUCAUGGGGCUGGAGAGACAGCUCAGAUGUUAAGAGCACUUGCUGAUAUGGAAGAGAAUCAGGGUUCUGUCCUCAGGACCACAAGGCAGCUUACAACUGUCUGUAACUCUAGAUCUGGGGGGGGGGUCACAAUGCCCAAUUCUGGAUUCUGUUGGCACCUAUGCUUCUGCAUUCAGUGUACUCAAGCACAUAAAAUAAAAAUAAAUAUUUUUCCUUUGAGACAGGAUAUCUCUCUCCAGUCCUGGCUGUCCUGGAACUUGCUGUGUAGACUAGCCUUGAAUUCACAAGAUCCACUUGCCUCAGUUUCCUGGGUGCUGAGAUAAAGGCUUGCACCACUACACCCGUCAUAAAUAACAGGCAGCCUUGAAAACAUACACACAAGGAACUAUCCAGACUUAGCAGGAUAUACUUAGGAAUAUAUAUGUACAUACAUAUAUGCAUAUAGUAGCAAUUAAUGAAAAAGAGCUCAUGAAUUUGAAGGAGGGUGGGGAAGGAUGUACGGGAGAGUUUGGAAGGAGAAAAGGGAAAGGAGAAGUGCUAUAACUACAUUAUAAUCUCAAAAUAAAUGAAUAAAUAAAUAAAUAUUAUGGGAAUACUGAGUAUGGUGGCCAAAAGCUAGCAGUUGCAGUCACUUGAAACAGUCCACCCCAGUGACUACCCAAAUACAAAGUUUCUAUUAUUCUCCCAGACAAAGGGCACACAGCAACAUUCCCAAGGGAAUUUUACCCAGAGUUCACCAAUUCCCUUGAUUUGCUCAAAGUCUAAGAUCUUUCUUGUUGUGCGAUGCCCCCUCAGGUUCAGAUGUGGGGUGAGUGUGGUCUGAAAGGUAUAAAGUCAAAGGUAAUUAUCACUUUGAUACACCAAAGAGUAGAGUCACCAAUGUAGUAAGACCAUUUAAAAUUUCAUUUGCGGGAUUGUGGGGCGAGUCAGUAGGGAAGGCAGUCUGUUCCAAACCUGCUGGCCUGCAUCAGUUCAGGGUUCUAGGCAGUGACUCGGAUUCCCUUAAGCUGUUCUCUGACCUCCACAUAUGCAUGGUGGCAUGUGCACGCCCCCAUGAAAAUGUACUUUAACAUAAAGCAAUAAUGGCGGUGCGUGGAGGCACGUAACUUAAUCCCAGCACCAAGGAAGCAAACACUGGUGAAUUCUGUGAGUUUGAAGCUAGCCUGGUCUCCCUAGCAAGUACCAGGUGAGCCAGGGUUCCACAGUGAGGCUCUGUCUCAAAUAAUUGUAAACAAAUAACCUCGUGCAAGACUUGUUUCCGUUCAUGGUAAGUUAUUUCAGUUAUUUUUCUAGCUGUUUGUAACUCUCAAACGUGAAUACCUUUCCAAUUCUUUAAGUGAAUACAUGACAUGAAAAGGUAAUAAAAUACAGAGGUCAGCUGGGAGUGUAGCUCAAUAGGGGAGAAUGUGUUAGGCUCUGGGCCCAACCCCAUCACUGACCCCCUAAACAACAAAACACAAAC